ACGAACGCUGGCGGCGUGCCUAAUACAUGCAAGUAGAACGCUGAAGAGAGGAGCUUGCUCUUCUUGGAUGAGUUGCGAACGGGUGAGUAACGCGUAGGUAACCUGCCUUGUAGCGGGGGAUAACUAUUGGAAACGAUAGCUAAUACCGCAUAACAAUGGAUGACACAUGUCAUUUAUUUGAAAGGGGCAAUUGCUCCACUACAAGAUGGACCUGCGUUGUAUUAGCUAGUAGGUGAGGUAAUGGCUCACCUAGGCGACGAUACAUAGCCGACCUGAGAGGGUGAUCGGCCACACUGGGACUGAGGCACGGCCCAGACUCCUACGGGAGGCAGCAGUAGGGAAUCUUCGGCAAUGGGGGCAACCCUGACCGAGCAACGCCGCGUGAGUGAAGAAGGUUUUCGGAUCGUAAAGCUCUGUUGUAAGUCAAGAACGGGUGUGAGAGUGGAAAGUUCACACUGUGACGGUAGCUUACCAGAAAGGGACGGCUAACUACGUG
rnacentral:rRNA from 1 species